GACGAACGCUGGCGGCGUGCCUAAUACAUGCAAGUAGAACGCACAGUUUAUACCGUAGCUUGCUACACCAUAGACUGUGAGUUGCGAACGGGUGAGUAACGCGUAGGUAACCUGCCUGGUAGCGGGGGAUAACUAUUGGAAACGAUAGCUAAUACCGCAUAAUAUUAAUUAUUGCAUGAUAAUUAAUUGAAAGGUGCAAUUGCACCACUACCAGAUGGACCUGCGUUGUAUUAGCUAGUAGGUGAGGUAACGGCUCACCUAGGCGACGAUACAUAGCCGACCUGAGAGGGUGAUCGGCCACACUGGGACGGAGACACGGCCCAGACUCCUACGGGAGGCAGCAGUAGGGAAUCUUCGGCAAUGGACGAAGGUCUGACCGAGCAACGCCGCGUGAGUGAAGAAGGUUGUCGGAUCGUAAAGCUCUGUUGUAAGAGAAGAACGGGUGUGAGAGUGGAAAGUUCACACUGUGACGGUAUCUUACCAGAAAGGGACGGCUAACUACGUG
rnacentral:rRNA from 1 species